rnacentral:lncRNA from 1 species
GAUCACAGCUCACUACAACCUCAACCUCCCUGGGAUCAAGCUAUCCUCCCAUCUUAGCUUCCCAAGUCAUUGGGACUACAGGGAAUGUGCCGCUGUGCCCAGCCAAACUGGAUCUUCAGUAUGUUUAUGUAACUUUCCGGGAGCAGAGUGUUUUCAGCUUUGGAGCUUCAAUCGAACUUUUGAGACAAGAAGAGGAAAGACAAGAAAAGUGUCUUCUUCACAAUUUUAUUAUUUUGGUGUCAAAGAUUCCAGUUGAUUAUCCCUUUCUAUCUCCAAAGUCUGGCAAACCCUACUUACCUCCCCAACUGCUUUCGAAAGCAUAAACAAAAUAAAAUAACAUCAUCAAAGAUUCCAGAAGAUUGGGAAAGGUGUGGAAGGUAGUGAUUAAAGUAUAGUUGUAAGGGCCCUUUGACAUCAAUUUUAUUCUCUCAGGGGGCUUAAAGUGUUUCUUUUCUGCUUCCUUUACUACAAAGAUAUUUCACUCAAACUCUAUCUUGUUAU